rnacentral:tRNA from 1 species
UCCCUGGUGGUCCAGUGGUUAAGAAUCUGCCUGCCAACGCAGAGGACAUGGGUUCGAACCCUGUCCAGGAAG